GUACACUCCUACGGGAGGCAGCAGUGGGGAAUUUUGGACAAUGGGCGAAAGCCUGAUCCAGCAAUGCCGCGUGAGUGAAGAAGGCCUUCGGGUUGUAAAGCUCUUUUGUCAGGGAAGAAACGGUGAAAGCUAAUAUUUUUUGCUAAUGACGGUACCUGAAGAAUAAGCACCGGCUAACUACGUGCCAGCAGCCGCGGUAAUACGUAGGGUGCAAGCGUUAAUCGGAAUUACUGGGCGUAAAGCGUGCGCAGGCGGUUUUGUAAGUCUGAUGUGAAAUCCCCGGGCUCAACCUGGGAAUUGCAUUUGAGACUGCAUGGCUAGAAUCUGGCAGAGGGGGAUAGAAUUCCACGUGUAGCAGUGAAAUGCGUAGAUAUGUGGAGGAACACCGAUGGCGAAGGCAGCCCCCUGGGUCAAGAUUGACGCUCAUGCACGAAAGCGUGGGGAGCAAACAGGAUUAGAAACCCUUGUAGUCCCAUGAU
rnacentral:rRNA from 1 species